CGUAGUUGGAUUUCUGGUUCGCUGCGCCUGGCCCGCCCGCGUUAGCGGUGUGAGUGCCGGUUUGCGCGGUGGCCAUCCUUCUGGAGAACGGGCCUGCCCUUCACUGGGUGGGGUCCGCGACCCAGAUCUUUUACUUUGAAAAAAUUAGAGUGUUUAAAGCAGGCAAUUGCUCUGAAUACAUUAGCAUGGAAUAAUGACAUAGGACUUUGGUUCUAUUUUGUUGGUUUCUAGGACUAAAGUAAUGA
rnacentral:rRNA from 1 species